UACAGAGGGUGCGAGCGUUGUCCGGAAUCACUGGGCGUAAAGGGCGCGUAGGUGGUGACCUCAGCGUGCGGUGAAAGCCCGAGGCUCAACCUCGGGUCGGCCGUGCGAACUGGGUCACUGGAGCAGAAUAGAGGCAGGUGGAAGUCCGGGUGUAGCGGUGGAAUGCGUAGAGAUCCGGAAGAACACCGGUGGCGAAGGCGGCCUGCUGGGUUCUGGCUGACACUGAGGUGCGAAAGCGUGGGGAGCAAACAGG
rnacentral:rRNA from 1 species